UCAAGUCUCAAGUCUCAAGUCUCAAGUCUCAAGUAUGAAGAAGUAGAAAAAAAAAGGCCCAUUUCUCGUGAUUCUUUGCUUAAGUUCAUUUACUUCUUCCUUGCUGUCUGUAAACAAGUCUUCAUGAAAUUUGUUUUCACUUCAAUUCAAUGAUUUUGUUUCAAUCUUCAUCAACCCACAAACUCGUAGCAACUAAUUUCUACUCAUAAUCCAGAAUUUGCAGGCAGGAUUUCUCGUCAUUUAUUUCCUCAGGAACGUUGAUUUGAUAAGCUGGGGAAUAUAAUGUUCUUUGGUAAAUUGAGUAAUUUGUAAGUUGCUGUAAGGGGAUCCUCUAGCAACUGUAAGCGCUGGGAUCGUGAGCUUUAGCAGAUAUUUUUAUAUUUAUAUGCUUGCUUUACAUAGUAAUUUUCGAGUUCCCGUGUCCGUAGUUGUUUUUAUUAGGAUUGUCUGAGAUGGAGGAACUACUAAAGAACCCAGUAUUUGCCAGCCAUGUUGUUGCAGCUUCAGGUUCUGUGGCAAUAGGAACUGCUCUUAGUUACCAUCUCGACACUAUAAAAACUCUCAUCCAAGUUGGUGCAAGUUCUAACAAGAAGUUGAAUGCAACUCAGGUUUUGGAAAGAGUUAAAUCUGUUUCGGGAUAUGCAGGUUUGUAUAGUGGUCUUAGUUGGCUGACUGUGGGAAGAAUCACAAGUCUUGGUGCUCGAUUUGGAGUCCAUGAAAUUUUGACAGCCUACUAUAAAGAUGGUCGGAUAGAUAAUUAUGUUUAUGUUUCUGAAGCACUUUUUGCGGGGAUUAUAGCUGGGGCCUUGGAGUCUUGCCUUAACUCUCCAUUUGAGAUGAUAAAGCUUCGAAAACAGGUCGCUGCAGCUAUUCAUAUUCCUGUUCCUAGUAGUAGUAUAUCAUCUGUGAAAUCUGCUACGGCUCCCAUUAUUUCUAGGUUACUGCCUGGAUUUAUUCCUGAUAAAGUGGCAUUGGAUCGUACUGUCAACUUGUUAUCCGUCUUAUCUUCAAAGAAUCAUAACUUGGGUGAGGCCUUGAAAAAUUGUCCUUGGAUGAUGACUGGCUCUGGCAAGCCACCUGAUGUCACUGAUGUUAAACGGCCUCAAGAUAUUGUCAGACUUGAAGGAUGGCGUUCCCUAUGGAGAGGUCUGCGGACAGGAAUAGCUAGAGAUUCUGUUUUUGGUGGCAUAUUUUUUGGUAGCUGGCAAUUUCUGCACCUGGCUAUGCUUAAUUGGAAGGCUGUUGGGAUGGAUCCUCCUCCAGAAAGAAAUGAUGAGAUUGGCCCUUUGUCUCCAUUAGUUCUUAGCCUAACAGCUGGAUUUUCUGGGUCAAUGGCUGCUGCUGCUUCUCAUGGUUUUGACACCUCCAGAACCCGAUCCCAGUGCAUUGUGCUACCCAAAUAUCUGGCUAUGGAGAGGAGGCUUUUAAAAUGGACACGUCCUGGGAAUUGGUUUGAGAGAUUUACAGGGAUCCACCCGGCAGAUCGCAAUCUUUUAUUCCGAGGAAUUUCUGCAAGGAUGGCUCGUAGUGGUUUGUCAUCAUUUGUCCUAGUAGGGACUUACUUUAUGGUUGUCGAUCAUCUUAUUGCCAAGUCAUAACACCUUUUGAUUAUAGAGUACAAGACAUCUCCAAAUACUGUUGAUGUGACAAGCCAUACAUAAAUGCUAUCAAAACAAAGGCUAGGAAUCGAUUUACUGUCACUUAUGGUGGCCUUUUAAUCAUACUACGAAGAAGAAAUGUUAGCAUCUCAUACAGGACUUAAUGCUGGUGAAGAAGACAAGGAGUUGCUUAGUCACGAUGGACCAAAUAUUUUACUUAUAUGUGUUGGGUACAUGUUCUUUUCGCCACCCAUUUUUGCCUUGCUAUUGGUGACUUAAAUUUCCAGUUGCUUUGGGCUUUCAACCAAGAAGAUGAUCUUGAGAGCUAUAUAUGCUCUUGUGACAUGUUUUCUUUCAUCAUGUUUUGAGGCUGCUUCUCCUGGACUAUCCAGGAAAGAGGAAUUAAAUCUUUGAGGCUCAAUUUCAUUCUCCUGAUGGUGUACAGACUGAGCAUGGGGAUAUGUAUGAUUGUGUAGAUUUUUACAAGCAGCUGACAUUUAGUCAUCCUCUCUUAAAAAACCAUACCUACCACCCUCAGGUGCUUUCCUCUAUUGAGGUGCUGUCUGGCCCACUUCUUCUGUUAUGUUGACUUCCUCACAUUUUUAUGUAUGUCAGACGAGGCCUACUUCUAGGCCUAAAUGGAUUGAAAACAACAAUAUCUCUUUGACGAUGAUAGAAAGACCAACAAGUGUGAUCCGGUUGAAGGAUGGAGGCUGCCCUCCUAGAAUAAUUCCCAUUAGAAGAGCAAAUGGCAAAGAUGACCUUUCCCACACCAAGGUGUUUUCACAUCAUUUUGCAGAAAAAGGGAAUCUGAAGCCUAAUCAUGGAACUGAAUACAUAUCUGGAACUGUUGCAGGCGAUUUACGCUGUUUCAAUUCUGAAUGCGGGUUCGUCAUUGUUAGAUCAGAUAUUCCUCUGGACUUUCUCCUUCACCCAGUAUCAGAAAAAGGAGAACAAGUCUAUAUAAACAAGUUCUUUGUUUAUCAGGAGAAGAUUUCUGGAGAUUGGUGGCUUGACGUGGGAAUGAACCCUCCAAUUGCGCUAGGGUUUUGGCCGCAGAGGAUCUUUGAGGGCUUGAAGGAAUCAGCAACAUAUGCAGCAGGUGGAGAAGAAAUAAACUCAAUAGCAACUAUGCCACCUCCACAAAUGGGAAGUGGUUCUUAUCCUGUUUUCGCUGCUGAUAUGAUGAAUGAUGCUUUUUGCAAAAAAAAUUGUGGUGGUGGAUGAAACCUAUACAAUUGUUGAUGCUGCUGAUUCUGAAGCCUAUGGAAAUAACCCUGAUUAUGGUGUUAUUGAUUUCCAUAUGAAAAAUCAUCAGCAUGCAGUUACCUUUGGUGGUCCUUGAUCUUUUCAGAAUGAAGAUUUUUAGUCCAAUUUAGUAAAUGUUUUAUCUAUUGAUGCUGAUAUGCUUACUUUACUUAAUUUUCAUUGCCAAACCAAGUAAGGCUGUAUUUGGAAAUUUUGUCAAUUUUUUCAAUAUGUAAACUACAAAAAUAAAAUAAUCCAGUGCAUUUCUCAACAA